rnacentral:lncRNA from 1 species
UGAGCACCGUAUUCUCCGGUGGCAGCAGGAGCGAUGCCAGUAGUAGCACCGUGAUGACCAAGUGGGUUUCCAUACUUGUCCACUUGGGGAACCAAGGGGUUGCUGUUCUCGUCAGUUCCCUGAGUCGGGUUGCCGCAGGCGGCGGUGGGUGGUGCCCCGUAUUGAUGAUUUUGUAAAUGCGCCAUUCUCUAAAAACACAAUGAAACCUUUUCUUCUUCUUGGAAAUUUUUUAAUAUGCUUCGAUGAGGAUUUGAUUUUGAUGAAGUCUGACAAUUUGGGUCGGUUUAUAUAAGCAAAAUAACAAAACAUGCAUGUCACAGUAGGGUUCUUGCCGUUUGCCAAACUUUAAUAAUUUGUAAAACUAUCCCCACUCUCUCUCUGUAUACAUGUCGUAUACGGUAUACCUCACAUUGCCACAAAAGCAACUCCCGACAGCAAAAAUAGUGUUAGACAUGUCGUAUAGCUCACAUUACCAAUACCUUGAAAGCAACUGCCGACAUCAAAAAAUAAUAGAACUUGGAUUGUUCAUGCUACUAGCUUCCAUCGCUAGGACAUGUACUUGGAAGCAAGCUAUACAGCCACCUUGAAUCAAUGAAUGAACCUUGAAUCAACGAAUGAAUGAAAAGAAAUGGAAUUGAAAGCAAGCUACAGCUACCUCAAAUCAAUCAAUGAACGAAUGAAAAGAAAAGAAACCGCCUGCUUAUCUUGUGUGACAAGACCAUAGAGCGAGUGGCUCUUCUAUGUGUGAAAUUAUCUUGUGUGACAAGACCAUAGAGCGAGUGACCAUUCUAGGUGGGCAGCUGUGUGAGAGAGAGGAAUUCGAACUUGAUAUUGAUAUCAGCGGAGGCGUUUGCAAGUGGCAAACUAAAUAACAUGUUCAUGUUCUUAUUGCUACUCAUUUUAACAUAAUAGACAACAAAGUUUUGUAAGCAGUAUAUCAAUAAAUAAACUACUGCAACACAUCAUACCAACACUACCCUAGGAUUACCAACUAAUAUCAGAUUCACCAUAACUAGAGAAACACCAGUUUAUAAUCUACAAGACACUUACCUGGAGGCAUCGCCAUUGAAGAAACAACAGAAGAAGAAGUCUUCUACUUCCAACACUCGAAAGUCUCUUCUCUAAGUGAAUAGGGUUUUAGAUAAUAUUGAGAGCGUUAGUAAGGAAGCAGGGACUUCAACUAUAUAUAUAUCCAUCCAUUUUGCUACAGAUUCACUCGGUCCAACCUAUUAUCAGAAAGAGUGAUAAUCUCUAUCUCUUAAUAAGUUUUAGUCCUAUCAUGACUCUAUAUACUAGUAUAUAUUUGAUAAGGAUCAAAAUAGAACAGCUGCAACAUACAAAACUCCACGAUUCUUGUCAUACCAAAGCUCUCAGACUCCUUGUGUUUCACAUAACUAGUAUGACUAGUUAAACGCCACCCAAGUAGUCCAGUUGUAAUCUCAUUGUCAUUCAAACAAGUUUUACAUUCUCCCACUUGAAUGUCAAUGAUAUGCCUCAAUAUUAUAAGAAUCAUGAUGAUCAUACAGUUCACAAAAGCUUGCAACUGAUCCUUCAUAGUAACUUGUCAUCUUUAAGAAAAAUAUAGGACCACAAAAAACAAAGCACGAAUAGCUUGCACUUUGCACUCUGUGAUCACAUACAUAUUUAGCUUAAAAACACUAUGUCACUUUUGAGAGUCAUGACGUCAAGAACUGACAAUUCUCAGUUCCACAUAACAAAAUGAAAUAAUUCCAGUACCAAAGUUGUUUGUAGAAACAUAAUAAGCCAAUUUAAACAAAUCAAUAACGAUAACAAAUUUGCAAGAUAACUAACAAUCGUCAAUCAGUAAACAAAAUAAUUGAAACAAACCCAACACGGUUUAUGGAGUGCUUACUCCCACUCAUUAACUGAAUCAAGGACCUCUCUUACUCCCAUGUUGAAAACAUGUUUCUUGAAAACUCCCACUGGUAAAGCCUUUGUCAUUGGAUCAGCAACCAUUAAACUUGUGUUGAUGUACUCAAUUUCGACAGUUUCUUUCUUCACUUCAUCUCGUACUUUUAAGUACUUGAUGUCCAUCAAUCUGCUGGCAUAAGACCUCUUGUUAUUCUUCGAAAAGAAAACUGCAGCUUUGUUGUCACAAUACAACUUGAGAGACCUUUCAACACUGUCAACGAUUUCCAAUCCUUUCAUCAUGUUUUUAAGCCAAAUGGCUUGUUGAGUUGCUGCAUAGCACCCUAUAAAUUCAGCUUCCAUAGUUGAAGAUGCAAUACCUUUCUGUUUUGCACUCUUCCACGAUACUGCACCAUUAGCCAACAGAAAGAUAUAUGCAUUAGUUGACUUUCUGUCGUCCACGCACCCUGCCAAGUCCGAAUCCGUGAACCCUACCAAUUCCAGCUUGUCCACAUGACUAUAAGUUAACAUAAAAUCUCUUGUUCUUUUGAGACACCUCAGUACCUUUUUCGCUGCAACCCAAUGACAUACACCAGGAUUUGAUUGAAACCUACCAAGCACACUCAGUGCAAAAGCCAAAUCUGGUCUUGUGCAUACCUGAGCAUACAUGAGACCCCCUACAAGAGAUGCAUAGGGCUUGUCUUUCAUUCCCUCAUUCUCUAAUUCAUUUUUGGGACAUUAAACACUACUCAGUUUGUCUCUUUUGCCGAUAGGCAAUUCUCCAUUCGAACAUUUGUCCAUAUUGAAUCUUUUAGCAUCUCUAUCGAUGUACUACCUUUGAGAAAGACCAAGAGACUUCGUAACACGAUCUCUUACAAUUUAUAUUCCCAAAACAAAUCGAGCUUCCCCCAAGUCCUUCAUGUUAAAGUUUUGAGUGAGCAUACUCUUAGUUAACUGUAGUAGAGACAUAUCAGAGCUAGCUAAUAAUAUAUCGUCUACAUACAAUACUAAGAAUAUGACCUUCGCACCAAGGACUUUCAGAUAAAUACACUCAUCCAUUUUGUUCUCUUGGAAACCAGAAGCUGCCAUUACCUGAUCAAAUUUCUUAUUCCAUUGCCUCGAGGCUUGUUUUAAGCCGUAUAUAGACUUAUUCAGUUUACAAACCAUCGUCUCAUUCCCCCUUUCAACAAAUCCAGGUGCUUGUUGCAUGUAAAUAUCUUCUUCAAGAUCUCCAUUUAGAAAUGCCGUCUUGACGUCCAUUUGAUGAAGUUAUAAAUCAAAAUGUGCUGUGAGAGCUAGAAUUAUUCUCAUGGAAUCUUUUGUUGAGACUGGAGAAAAUGUCUCAUUAUAGUCAAUGUCUUCCCUUUGUGUAAAGCCCUUCGCCACUAACCUUGCUUUGUGUUUGUCAAUGUUGCCUUAUGAGUCUCGUUUUGUCUUGAACACCCAUUUACAACCAAUAAUUUUUGUUGUCCCAAUUGGCUUUGGAACUAAGCUCCACACACUGUUUUUCUCCAUGGACUCCAGUUCUUCAUGCAUGGCUUGUUUCCAUAAUGUUGAUCUUGAACUUGUUAUGGCUUGAUUGUAGGACAAGGGAUCAUCUUCAUCACCUAUAGUAUGUUCUGCCUCAUUUAGUUAUGUUUAUACCAUAUUUAGGGCCUCGUAUUUAGAUCUCGUACAAAUACUCGGAGGACUUAAAUGUAAUUAUAUGAUAAAGGAAUGGGCAAAUAUGUAAUAAAAGAUGAGUCCUUAUUCUAUAAAAGGACCACUCACCCUCACAAUUAGGGGAGGCCAAUUCCUAGGCCUUCUCACCCCCUCUCAAAGCUCUCACUCUCAGAGCUCUCUCUCCCUUAGAAAUACAAUAUCAGUGUGGACGUAGCCCAAACUUUGGGGUGAACCACGAUACAUCUUGUGUUAUUUACAUUUCAUGCAGAUUCACGGUCGGAUUUACGUUGUUCCAAGACCUUCAGUUUUGUGCAUCAACAAGGUAUACAAAAUCAGGCAACAAUGUUGCCUUACGUACUCGCUGUGAUUUUCGAAUAUUUGAUUCAAAAACUGCAGUUACUGGAUCAUUCAUAAGAUCUACUUCAGUUAAUUGUACUGGUGCAUGUACUUCAUGUUCCUGGACGUCUGCAUAGGGCACAUACUCCUCAUUUGUUGUAUCAUCUGCAUAAACCGUAUGUGAAUUGUCAUGAAAAGGUUAUGGCUGCAUGUUCAUGGGAAUAAUAAGGGUAGAUGGAUGCUGAUCAAUAAUGUCACUAUCAAGUGUGAUUUCUUUGAAUUUUGAGGAUGUAGUUGCUGAUAUGCUGAUGUCAGUUUCAUCCCCAUCUUCAAGAAAUCUUGCAUUAUGGGUUUCCAUAACCCUCGAGUGACUGUUAGGGCAAUAGAAUUUAUACCCUUUAGACUUCUCAGAAUACCCAAUGAACUUGCAACUGGUGGUCCAUGGAUCGAGUUUUUUCUCUGUUGGAUUAUAGAAUCUGGCAUCGGCAUUACAACCCCAUACACGAAAGUGAUGAAAACUCGGUUUCCUUCUUGUCCAAGCUUCGAAUGGUACCAUGUCAACGGACUUGCUCGGUACACGGUUCAAUAUAUAAUUUGUAAUUUUCAGUGCUUCUUCCCAAAGAAACAUUGAAAGCUUUGAAUGUGCAAACAUGGAUCGAAUCAUGUCCUUCAGGGUUCGAUUCCUUCGUUUAGCAACUCCAUUUUGAUGAGGAGUCCCAGGGGUAGUAUACUGAGCCACAAUGCCAUUUUGUUCAAGAUAAGUUGCAAAAGGUCAUUUGUGUUGUCCAGCCUCAGUGAACUUGCCAAAAUACUCACCACCUCUAUCGGAUCUCACAAUCUUAAUGUGUUUUUCUAGUUGUUUUUCAACUUCCAAAUGAAAUGUUUUAAAACAAUGCAAGGCUUCAGAUUUUUCAAAAAUAAGAAAAACAUAUGCAAACCGUGAAAAAUCAUCAAUGAAGGUUAUGAAAUAUGAUUUUCCACAUAUGGUCUUAAUUGGAAAGGGUCCGCAAAUAUCAGUGUGUAUAAUUUCCAGUAGAGAUUGGCUACGGUUUGACCCUAUUUUCCUAGUAUUGGUGAGUUUUCCUUUAAAACAAUCAACACACUCUUUAAAGUUGCUGAAAUCAAGUUGUGGCAACAAGUCUUGUUUUGUAAGUGUGAUGAUUCUUUCUUUAGAGAUGUGCCCCAACCUUUUGUGCCAAAGCAUUGAGGUUUUUUCAUGAGUGAGCACUUGUUUGAACCAGCACUUUGAACAUUAAAACAUUCAAUCUCAUACGUACAAUUCAUUUGCCACGUAUCAACUUUAAGAUAUGCUUCACUAAGUAAUUUAUUCAUGUCAUUGGAAUGGAAAAACUUUACACUUUGACUGUCACCCACUAAUGUAAAGCCGGAUUUAACUAACUUAGAUGCAGAAAUUGAUUUCCUUCUCAUGGAAGGUACAUAGAGUACUGGACUCAAAUCUAAAAUAAAGCUAGAGGAAAGAACUAAUUUGACACUUCCUAUGGAUUCGAUAGCAACUUUGCUGCCAUUCCCUACAUAGACAUUGUAGACUUCAUUGUUUAUCACCCUUGUUUUUUAGAAGCCCUGCAAAGAAUUAGUUAUGUGAAUAGAGCAGCUUGUGUCAAACCACCAACUUUUAGGAGGAAUGUAAACUAAAUUAGACUCAACACAUACAAAAAUAUUUAUUUCGUUACCUUUCUUAACAAGCCUAUUCUUGAAGCCAUUGCAGUUCUUUCUUAAGUGACCUAUUUCUUUGCAAAAAUAACACUCUUUUUCUUUCUCAAGUUCAAUGUUAACAUGCUUUAUUUUAUGAGAUCCUUUAGAGAUGAUGUUAGUAUUUUUAAAUGAAGAAGAAAUUUCUUUCUUCUUCUUCUUACCAGCAACCACAAUUGAACUUUGAGUGAAGUCCUUUUUGCGUUUUUCACCUUGCACAAAAUUCACAUCUACUGAUUUGUCACUCUUGAGCCGAUCUUCUUCUUGUGCACACAUAAUGAUCAGUUCAUCGAUGCCCUAUUUGUCUUUUUGAGUGUUAUAAAAAACCUUGAGCUGCCCAUAUUUUGAAGGCAAGGAGUUCAAGGCCAUAUGAACUAAGAACUGGUCAAUCAUGGGUACUUCGAGAUCCUUCAACUUCUAAGCAAGAUCAACCAUCUUGAGAAUGUGUUCUCUGACACUUCCCUCACCAUCAAAUUUCAUAGAGGUAAUUUGAAUGAGAAAAGUCCCAGUUUCAGCCUUGUCAAAUUCUUUAAAUUUUUCCCCAACUGCAGCCAAGAAGUCUUUUGCAUUGUCUUGUUUUGGAACACCCCCUUUAACUGAUGGAGCCAUAGCCUUCCUUGUAAUCAUCAGGGACAUUCGGUUUGUUCUCUCCCACUUUUCAAACUUUGCCUUAUGAUCUGCAGUGCUCUCUGUAGUAAUAGCUGCAGGUUUUUCCUCCCUUAAUGCCAAAUCGAGAUCCAUAAGGCCAAGAACCAUUUCAACAUCCUCCUUCCACUUCUUGUAGUUAGAACCGAUCAGAGUCUCAAUAUUGUUGAAAUUGAGAGAUGUCAUAUGAGGAGCUACAAAACCAAAUAUUAAUUUUUAUAGUUCUUAGUCAUUAUGUAUCAACAAACAGAAGAAAAGAUUACGCCUAAUCUUUUCCCAACAUAUAAUCAUAUAAACAUAGUAUCAUCUUUGGACAGAAACUAUUUAUACUAGAUUUGCAUAGCCAAAAUAUUGAAAACGAGGGCAGUUUACAUAACUCCAACACUUUUAAGCAGAUGAAGAAUGCAAUCUUGUCAAUUCAAUAUUUCACUAUACAUUGAUUGAUUUAUUUAUUUAACUUGAAUAAAUAAACACUUUUGAGCAGAUUAUUAUUCACUUGAUACAAAUAAAUCACAUGUCUAAUCCUUUAGACAACAACAAAAUCAACAAACUAAACACUUUUGAACAGAUUAGGUGUUGAGAUCCUUGUUUACGAUUCAAAUUUUAUUUAUUAGUUCGGUUUUGACAAAUAAAACAUGAAUCCAAAAGUUCUUCUGGGUUGAGUGUUCCAAUAUUGCAAUUGUUCUUUGAACGAUCUUCUCUAGACAAAAAUAGCAAACACAACUGGAGGUAUACACGGCAAUAUUUGAUUAUAUAUAUAAAUAUAUUGAUCAUGCAAAUUUCUUUGUAAGUAUGCAACGGAAGCAUUUAAUGACAUAGGAUCAAAAUAUAUAGAUCAAUCAAAUCGAAAGUUAACCAUAUAUUAAAUAAAGAACCCUAGUCAUGUUAGGUUGGCUCUGAUACCACAUGUAAGCAGUAUAUCAAUAAAUAAACUACUGCAACACAUCAUACCAACACUACCCUAGGAUUACCAACUAAUAUCAGAUUCACCAUAACUAGAGAAACACCAGUUUAUAAUCUGCAAGACACUUACCUGGAGGCAUCGCCAUUGAAGAAACAACAGAAGAAGAAGUCUUCUACUUCCAACACUUGAAAGUCUCUUCUCUAAGUGAAUAGGGUUUUAGAUAAUAUUGAGAGCGUUAGUGAGGAAGCAGGGACUUCAACUAUAUAUAUCCAUCCAUUUUGCUAGAGAUUCACUCGGUCCAGCCUAUUAUCAGAAAGAGUGAUAAUCUCUAUCUCUUAAUAAGUUUUAGUCCUAUCAUGACUCUAUAUACUAGUAUAUAUUUGAUAAGGAUCAAAAUAGAACAGCUGCAACAUACAAAACUCCACGAUUCUUGUCAUACCAAAGCUCUCAGACUCCUUGUGUUUCGCAUAACUAGUAUGACUAGUUAAACGCCACCCAAGUAGUCCAGUUGUAAUCUCAUUGUCAUUCAAACAAGUUUUACAAGUUUCACAUCACAAAGAUAGACAUUGCAUAGUGCUCUCUGUGCAUUAGCCACACAAACAACUCAGCUCACACCAGAGGCACCAGUAGCUUAUUAUAUGGCCGAUAUAAUUGUAACAAACCACUGCAUUUAUAUCUUGUGGUGUCCGCCACGAAGCUUCUCUAUGAUCUUGUCCAUGAUCCCUUUCUUUUCGUGGUUCUCCUCCGUGUAAGCGGUGCCGCCGCCGGAUGGUGUGGUGGUCGACGUAGUAGUAUGUGAGUAGUGGGGGUUAUCCUUGUGGCCAGUACUCGGCAGCUUGUCCUCGAUCUUGUCCGUCAUCCCUUUUUCCUGGUGGUGCCCUCCUGGGUCGGUGGUGCCGUAUGUUGUGUCAGUUGUAGUUGAGCCUGUGAGCUUUUCAUUUAUCUUCUGUUGCAGCUAGCUUCUAUCGCUAGCACAUGUACUUGGUGUUGGAUAAAUAUCAACAAUCAACGAUAAAUUUAUAUAUGUUAAUAAAUAAUAAAUACAAAUAAAUAAUUUACCAGAGUAUAAACAUAACGAAAUAAUAUUAGACAGACAAAUUGAAAAUCAAAGCUUGCGUACCGUAAUGUCCUUGAAAUAUAAAUUUCAUCCCUAUUCAGUGCUUGUAGUUCUACAAACGUCUGCUUCACCAAUAUUCAAUUGACACACCCCGACCUAAAUCAGGGCGUGUUGGCCGUCACGUAGAAGUGAAGUAACCAUGUGCAUAGUGCGGAAACAAUAAAGAUAUAAGAGAAAUAUGAAUGAAUAAAAACCAAACUACUAGCCUUACUAGUUAAGAUAAGGUGCUAGAACGAGAUUAAGUGUGAAAUACACAACUAGAGCAUAAAUAGCCUAAGUGCAAUCAAGCAGGACAAGUACUAAUUUACAACACUCAAGGGUGAUCCUACAUUUAUGAUGUUCUGUUAAAACCACCGUUGAAAUCCCCGUGAGCCACCAAAGCAUUUCCACCUAAAACCUAGAUGGGCGCAAAACAGAAAGUGUGAGUAGGCAAAAACAAAGUUUUGCAAAAUCAUUUCAUUUCUCAAAAGUUCUAACCCCUCGCCCUAAAACCUGUAUAAUUUCCCAGAAAAUAAUAAUAAUAAUAAUAAUACUAAUAAUAAUAAUAAUAAUAAGCUGUAUCAGAAAUCAUACUCAAGAUGAAAAUCCAUAGAAGUAUACCAUGCCAAAGUAUCUUAAUGCAAUGCCAUAAAUAAUCCAGACAAAAUAUAUCAAUGUCAGGUAUCGCAUCAGCUGAAUCCCUCUAACUCAAACUGUAUGGUUGAGUCUAUAGCUCAUAACCAAUCUCAAUCAUAUCAUAUCAAUUCUUGCACACGAGUCGGAACCACCUAAAGUGGUCUGUACGACAAGAGUAGGUGUAAAAUAAAUAUGCUCUAGUGCUACGAUCACAUGAAGGCUGUGCGAAUAAUCGCGGGUCACUUACGAGUCGGAACCAUCUAAAGUGGUUUGUACGAAAAGCCUUUGCACCUAACUUGGAUCCUAGGUGAGCAUAUGGUGCGAGAGGUGAAUGUCACGUGAAAGACUGUACCCUAACUUUGGACGGGAGCACUAACACCAAGGUGCAUGUUUAUGAGCUCUCAAUACAUCACAUCAUAUCUCACAUAACUGAAGUAACCUCAUAUCUUUAAUUUAUGAACUUACCUAGCACUUACCUGUGCGUCUGCAGCACCAAUCAUAAAUAUAUGCAACUACUAAUGCAUAAAUAAAAUAGGCAGAUACUUUACAUGGCAUUUCAAAACGUAAAAUCAUUCAAAUUCAUUUUUUGGGAAAAAUCUCAAAGUUUAUAGGUAUAUACGGAAAACCAAAAGCACACUCAUUGAUAUGUCGAAGGGUCGUAGCCCUCGAGCCUCGAUUGAUGGCACUCGUCCUUAGGAUAGGUCUCACCUAUAUGCGAAAUAACUGAAUAAACAUUAUUUAAAGCACAUACACAAAACUAAGAAAUAACUUCUCAUACAUUGCUCAAAUGAGGUAUUUGAAUAUACCACCAUGAUUUACUCAACCUCAGGAACAUCCUCAUAUUUUUAGAAAAAUUUUCCGACCUCCCACGCCCCGCCACGCACCGGCCAAGGCAUGGCCAAACGUGCUCCCAUGCGCGGCCAAACCCUAACUGAGCCUAACGACCAUUAGGAAUAUUCCGUUAAAACCUUAACAAAAGUUAAAUGCGUUACCUGACGCCAUUAGAAUAUUCUGUCAGACUUGACAAAAUAUUCUCCUUCAUAUUCCUGGGUUCGCCGGAGAAUGUUGUCGGAGCCGCUACGAUCGCCUGAAACUGGGAAAAUAAUCAAACCUUCAUAUCUUCCUCAUUUCUCAACCAAAACUCACGAAAUUUAUACCAAAUUGAAGCUUACAACAAGAAGAACAAAACCUUACCAAUUUCACGCCUAGAAAUCCAUGGGAUUUCAUCGGAUAAACCUCGAUAAUUCGGCCAAAAUUGAAACUUGCCAAACUUAACUUCCCGACAUCCAAAACACUUUGUUUUUCUUCUCCAAGCUUUGUGAAGACGUCCUAAGGCUCACUAGCAACUUAAAAUCUCCUAAAAACUUCACAUUCACGAUCAUAUGAACAGUGCCUUAAAACUGGGAUUUCUGGUUCUCGGGAAAACAAGGUCUUCACGUCAAACUAAAGGCAUAGAUGACCACCUGGACUCACGAGGAACACAUAAACAACCUCCUCGACGUCGAUCCGUGAAGAUAGGGUAAGGUUUGGGUGUUGUCCAUACGAGUACGAAAAUGGCAGAAAAUUCGAGGGAAGGAGAGAGAGAAAGUCAACGGGAAAGGGUUUGUGUGAGUGUGUGUGGUCCAGCUGGGUCACCAAUCAAAAUAAAUAAAAGCUUAAGUUUUAAUUGGAUCCAAUUAAUUAGGAAUAGAGCUAACUGGCCUUUUUUUCUUAGCCCAAUCUACACAACACCACGAAACGCUCAAGGGUACUUUAGUCUUUUCACACCACCGAUGAAAUAAUUCAAGACGGGCUGUGAUCAAUGAUCUAAGUUAGAAUUCCAACACCGGAAAACUUGACUUCUGGCUAAUUUCUUUGUGGUUCUCUCAGUAAGAAUGUUUGGGAUUGUAGAAGAAUUUUAUGUUUCUAUGUUCUAAAUGUCAUGCAGAUUGAUGUAUAUAUAAUAGGUUUAUGCAUGUUUGCAACAGGUAUGAGAAUGGGAUGAGUUUGUUAGGAGACAUCUUCUCAAAGGGGUGCUUUGUUCUCUGGCGUUCUUUCAUCACUUCAGACUUCAUCUGAAAAGAUGAGUUUAUUGAUAUAAAAAAUAAUUAAUUAAUUAAAAAUAAGUAAUUAAAAAAUUUAAUUAUAAAGCCCAAUCUCAAACUUGAGCCCAAUUUUAUGAUCUAUGACCCAUUACUCCAUUCACUCUCUACAAGGGACAAAAUCUUAUAAAAUAAAAAUCUUUUAAUAGUGACUAAUAUGGGAUCAUAAAAUUUCUACUCAAAAUUUCUAACACUUAAAAGCAAGCUACAGCUACCUCAAAUCAAUCAAUGAAACCGCUCCCAGUAGGUGGGCGGCGUGCUCGUCUUGUGUGACAAGACCGUAGAGCGAGUGGCUCUUCUCUGUGUGAACUUAUCUUGUGUGACAAGCCCAUAGAGCGAGUGACUAUUCUAGAUGAAUUCGAACUUGAUAUUGAUAUCAGCGGAGGCGUUUGCAAGCGGGCAAACUAAAUAACAUGUUCAUGUUCUUAUUGCUAAUUUGUAGGACCUUAUUAAACCAAUAUUGCAACAGUAGUUAAACCGGAAUUACCGUUACUCGAACGAGCACUAAAUAUAUUAAUAUAAACGACAGACAAAGUUACAUAUCACAAAGACAAACGAUACUGUGUAGUGUUCGGUGCAUUAGCCGCACCAGAGCUGAGCUCGCACCAGGCUCCGCUAGCUUAUUAUAAGAUUCAACAACACUAAACCACUGUAUACAUACUGUAGGCUUUUAUUAAUACAGGAAUGGUAUAUAAUGUCUACUGGUUUCCUCCGGGAAGCUUCUCUUUGAUCUUGUCCAUGAUCCCCUUCUUUUCGUGGUGCUCCUCCGUGUAGGUGGCACCGCCGUAGGGAGUUGUGGUCGUACUAGCAUGUGUUGUGGUUGAGUAGUGGGGGUCAUCCUUGUGGCCAGUACCCGGCAGCUUGUCCUUGAUCUUGUCCAUCAUCCCCUUUUCCUGUUGGUGCCCUCCUGGGUAGGUGGUGCCAGCGGUGCCGUAAGUUGUCUCAGUCGUGGUUGAUCCCGGGAGCUUCUCCUUUAUCUUCUGUUUCAACCCCUUCUUCUUCCUCCUCCCACCUAGCCCAUCAUCCUCCGACUACACCAAAAUAAAUACACGCCGACAUAUGAAUUUCUUUUUCAGAGGGAAUUACAAGUUAAUUAACAAUAUUAAUAUUAUAUAAUUAGUGUAUAAAAGAAAUUGAUGAUCAAAUCCUGCCAAUAAGAGUUGGAUCUUGCAUAAAAAUUGUAUCUACGCGAUUGUAUACAAGUUAAAAAUUUCCGAGGGAAUAACUUCUGUUUUAAAUGAAAUCUAUCUUGUUGUAUUAAUUAAAAAUUAGUAAACAUGCUACAGUACAAACAUUCUCAUGAAUAUAUAUUCAACCCUAAAUGUUGCAAAUCAAUCCACAUUUGCAAGGUGUACAUAGAGCAGAGAAAUGUUUUAGUUAAUCGAAACACGCCUAAUACACCUGGUCUAAUAAUGCUACCAUUAAAAUUUUUGCCUAUUGACCAGGUGACAUGAUACAAAUAACAAUAGGGGACCGCCUACAUAUAGAGAAAUUUUUAUUGUAUCAGAACACGCCUAAUUCACCAGGUCUAAUACUAUCGAUUAAAUAUUUUACUAGUUUCUAAUAAUACAAUUAUAUUGGGGUACUGGACCUUGCUACAGGCGCAUUGAAAAUUUUCUACGUGCUUAUAUUAGGAUUGAACAUAAAUUCAUGCGUGUGUGCCUAAUUAAGCCUAACCUUUUUGGCUAACUUGGUCAAUAGACAAAAUCAUGGUACGCGCUAUUAAGUGAAUCCUACGUAAAUUAACAUCACAUUUUCAUAUGAGAAAAAAAUAAGAAAUCACUUACAGAGCUAGAGCUUGAGCUGCCAGAGCGGUGGAGCGCGCCAGUGACACCAUGGUGCUCUUUCCUGCCGUAAUCGUGACCAGUGGUCGCAGCGGCUGUGUCAUGAGCACCGUAUCCUCCGGUGGUGGCACCUGUAGUAGCACCGCCAAGUGGGUUCCCGUACUCGUCGGUUCUCUGGAUCGGGUUGCCGUAGGCGUCGGUUGGCUGUGCCCCGUGUUGAUUAUGCAGAUGCGACAUUUUUCAAAUAACACAAUUUGAGUAUGGAAGUCUGGAUAAUUUU